CUCAGGGCACCAUGGAAGAUAUUGCACCUGUUCGAUUGCUUUUCAUCUUGAAUGAAAACAACAGCGUAAGAAUGGAGCUACACAAUGGGAUUCCCAACUCAGUGGAAGAGCUCAUUGAGGAGGUCAAGAAUUUAUGUGGAAUAGGAGACAUUAGGCUGCAGUACAAGGACACUGAUUUUGGGAACAUAUUUGUGAAUCUAGCCUCUACAAGUGUAAUUAAAGAUCUAACAGUUAUCAAAGUUGUCCAGUUAGACCCUGAUUCCACAACUGUUGUCUUGUACCCAGUUGUUUCCCCAAUGAAUAGCAGCCCUUCAGUUGGACUGGACAAUGAGGACUCCUCCUCUGGAUCUGCACAUACAGAUGGCACAGUACUGCCUAGUAGCUCUUCCUCAGACUCAUUAAGAGAACAGCAGUGGCCAAAAGUGUUUCCAAUCCCCUUAUUCUCCUAUGACACAGAAUGUUAACUACAGAGGGGAAAUGCAGAGCAUGCGAGAAACCAAUCUCGACUGACACCCAGCUCAAGAAUGCUGUCAGACAUACUGGAGAAACUAGCUGAAAAAAUGUACAUGUACAAAGCAUACCCUACAGAUGACGAUUUCAGCGAUGUUGCUGAGGCACUGACAAGGAAGCACCCCUGCCUGAGAGAACUAGGUUCUUUCAAUGAAAGCUAUGGAUGGAAACAAAGGCUCAAGGUAAAAAUGGCCAACUACUGGACUCUACUUAAGGCACAUGGCACAUCUGCUGAGGUCACUGUUAUUACUUUGAAAUCCAAGUCUCAAGAAGAGGCCCACCCAGCAAAGAAUCUGAAGAGACCUAGACGAGCUGAGGUAAACCAUUUUCCAUCCUUGCCAAGUGGUGAGACUCCACAAAGCCUGGAACAAAAGAGGAUUUCCCUUAUGGCAGAAUUACAGAAAAGAAACAACCGACAAACCAUAAAAGAAAAGAUGGCAAAGACAUUUGGAUACCGGAGGCAAGAAAUAGUGUAUAAGAAGCCGAACAUUGAACAGAGAUGGCCUGCACUUUUUCAGAUGGAAGAGAUCAAUGCUGAGUUCACAAGAAUCACAACUGUCCCCUUGGAGAAAAAGUUCUUGGCGCAGUUAGACAAGCACUCCACCAAAUUGCUGGAAGUCAUCAGGCACAAGGGAGGAGUUGUAAAAAAGAAGACCACCAGGAUCUUGUAGGUUUUAGAUGAGACUAUGGACAUCAACGUCAGAAGAGAAUGCAUCCUCAAAUCUAUGAUAAUCUACUUGGAUGAACCUGUUCAGCACCUUAUCAAAGAAUACCAGGUAAGACCAUCUCUUUCUCACUAGCUUGCACACGACAACACCUACAGAUCCAUCCUCAUGUACUGUUUCAGACUGUGUUCUUAUUAGGAUAUGCAGGAAAAUGAGGAAGAACUGGAGCAGGAAACCUUGGCAAUCUUUGUCACUGAAAAAGAGGAUCCUUUCCAUCCACACAAAGACAUUAAGAUAGUCAUUGAAGGAAGAGAGGUCUUGAACGAUUUGCCCUUGGUUCCAACAGCUUUUGCCAUGUUCUUCGGGUUGAUAUAUACACUCAACCUAAAAUAUCCAAAAAAACUGCAGUACACCUUUGAAUUUGUGCAAAAAGUCUUGAUAGAGCUUGAUGGAAAAAAGAUGACUCCAAAACUUCAUAGACUGACCACCCACCUAUAUAGCCCAGACUAGAUGGAAUUUUGCAUUGACAUGCUCAAUUUUUAUUUUCCCACUGGUGCUUAAAUGUCAGUGGCUUUUACUAUGCACACU